UGCCAGCCGCCGCGGUAAUAUGGAGGGUGCAAGCGUUAAUCGGAAUUACUGGGCGUAAAGCGCGCGUAGGUUGCUUGUUAAGCGAGAUGUGAAAGCCCCGGGCUUAACCUGGGAACUGCAUUUCGAACUGGCAGGCUAGAGUACAGUAGAGGGUAGUGGAAUUUCCUGUGUAGCGGUGAAAUGCGUAGAGAUGGGAAGGAACAUCAGUGGCGAAGGCGACUGCCUGGACUGAUACUGACACUGAGGUGCGAAAGCGUGGGUAGCGAACAGGAUUAGAUA
rnacentral:rRNA from 1 species